rnacentral:rRNA from 1 species
GACGAACCGUGCGAACGUUGUUCGGAUUCACUGGGCUUAAAGGGCGCGUAGGCGGGUUCUCAAGGCAGGGGUGAAAUCCUCCAGCUUAACUGGAGAAGUGCUUUUGAUACUGGGGACCUCGAGUAAGGUAGGGGCAUGUGGAACUUCCGGUGGAGCGGUGAAAUGCGUAGAUAUCGGAAGGAACGCCGGUGGCGAAAGCGACGUGCUGGACCUUUUCUGACGCUGAGGCGCGAAAGCCAGGGGAGCAAACGGG